rnacentral:misc_RNA from 1 species
GUAAAUUAUCAACUGUCGCUGCCUUGAUUAGAUCCCGUUGUUCACAGGUUUGAGAGCCAUGAACUGGGUUCAGCGCAAGAUCUAUCUGUAUAAUGUCACUUUUGGUCUCUACAUGUUGGAUUGGUGGGAGCGUUGCCUUUUCAAUACUUUGGUUGUCGUGCUUCUGUGGUUCAUUUUCUACAAUGGAUCGCGAUAUGUGACUGAGUUCUGUAAGAGGCAUCUGUGGUGAAGCUCAAGCUCAGAUGUCAAUUUGGAUGAUUGCAAUUGUAAUGGUCAAGUAGAACGUUGGACUGUUGCUGUGGCAUAUCACAUCUAUUUGCUUGAAAAUUUGCCUUCUUGUUCUUCCUAAAUUAUACCGUACACCUUGUAAUAAUCAUCUAUACCCUUGUCCAAGAUUUGAAACUUUGUUGUUGUAAUUAUUCGAGCUUUUCUGCUCAUUUGCAAUUUGCAAAAUUUUCGCAUUCAGCUUAAAAAAAAA